rnacentral:rRNA from 1 species
ACGGAUCUCUUGGUUCUGGCAUCGAUGAAAAACGCAGCAAAAUGCGAUAAGUAAUGUGAAUUGCAAAAUUCAGUGAAUCAUCGAAUCUUUGAACGCACAUUGCGCCCGCCAGUAUUCUGGCGGGCAUGCCUGUUCGAGCGUCAUU